AGAAGACUGUAUACUUAAUAAAUAAAAU
rnacentral:piRNA from 1 species